rnacentral:tRNA from 1 species
GCAGGGGUUCCCAAGUGGUCAAAGGGGCAGGGUUCAGGGCCCUGUGGCUUAGUGCCUUCGUGGGUUCGAAUCCCACCCCCUGCA